UACGUAGGGUGCGAGCGUUGUCCGGAAUUAUUGGGCGUAAAGAGCUCGUAGGCGGUUUGUCACGUCUGCUGUGAAAUCCCGAGGCUCAACCUCGGGCCUGCAGUGGGUACGGGCAGACUGGAGUGCGGUAGGGGAGAAUGGAAUUCCUGGUGUAGCGGUGAAAUGCGCAGAUAUCAGGAGGAACACCGGUGGCGAAGGCGGACCUCUGGGCCGUACUGACGCUGAGGUGCGAAAGCUGGGGGAGCAAACAGG
rnacentral:rRNA from 1 species